CCUACGGGAGGCAGCAGUGAGGAAUAUUGGUCAAUGGGCGCGAGCCUGAACCAGCCAAGUAGCGUGAAGGAUGAAUGCCCUACGGUUCGUAAACUUCUUUUAUAAAGGAAUAAAGUGAGGCACGUGUGCCUUUUUGUAUGUACUUUAUGAAUAAGGAUCGGCUAACUCCGUGCCAGCAGCCGCGGUAAUACGGAGGAUCCGAGCGUUAUCCGGAUUUAUUGGGUUUAAAGGGAGCGUAGAUGGGUUGUUAAGUCAGUUGUGAAAGUUUGCGGCUCAACCGUAAAAUUGCAAUUGAUACUGGCAGUCUUGAGUACAGUUGAGGUAGGCGGAAUUCGUGGUGUAGCGGUGAAAUGCUUAGAUAUCACGAAGAACUCCGAUUGCGAAGGCAGCUUACUAAACUGCCACUGACAUUGAUGCUCGAAAGUGUGGGUAUCAAACAGGAUUAGAUACCCCAGUAGUC
rnacentral:rRNA from 1 species